AUAAUUUUCUUCUUAUUGCAAUUUGUUUUUCAAGAUGCAGAAACUUGUUAGUCUUAUUUUUAUCCUUACUCUAAUUGCGCUUUCGUGUGCAUUAUAUCACACUGAACUCCCUGAAAGCUGCAGAGCACUAUGCGAUUCAGAUGGAUGCUAUUAUUUAAGACGACAUUCACAUUGCGACCUUUGUUGUUUAUUUCCAGAAUGCCGCAGCUGUCUUUGGCGUGGGUGACUUCCCCUCUUUAGAAGAAAAACCAAACAAACAGAGCAAAGAAGAUUUAUCCUUUGUGUAAAAUGAAAUAAAAAUAAAAUUAAACUAU